UACGUAGGGGGCAAGCGUUGUCCGGAAUCAUUGGGCGUAAAGCGCGUGUAGGCGGCUCGGUAAGUCCUGCUCUGAAAGUCCAGGGCCUCAACCCUGGGAUGCGGGUGGAUACUGCCGGGCUCGAGUCCGGAAGAGGCGAGUGGAAUUCCCGGUGUAGCGGUGAAAUGCGCAGAUAAUCGGGAGGAACACCAAUGGCGAAGG
rnacentral:rRNA from 1 species